rnacentral:rRNA from 1 species
UACGUAGGGUGCAAGCGUUAAUCGGAAUUACUGGGCGUAAAGCGUGCGCAGGCGGCUUUGCAAGACAGAUGUGGAAUCCCCGGGCUUAACCUGGGAACUGCAUUUUUAACUACCGGACUAGAGUAUGUCAGAGGGAGGUGGAAUUCCACGUGUAGCAGUGAAAUGCGUAGAUAUGUGGAGGAACACCGAUGGCGAAGGCAGCCUCCUGGGAUAAUACUGACGCUCAUGCACGAAAGCGUGGGGAGCAAACAGG